rnacentral:rRNA from 1 species
UACGGAGGGUGCAAGCGUUAUCCGGAUUCACUGGGUUUAAAGGGUGCGUAGGCGGGUUGGUAAGUCCGUGGUGAAAUCUCCAAGCUUAACUUGGAAACUGCCGUGGAUACUAUCAAUCUUGAAUAUCGUGGAGGUAAGCGGAAUAUGUCAUGUAGCGGUGAAAUGCUUAGAUAUCAGGAGGAACACCGGUGGCGAAAGCGCACGACUGGACCUCUUCUGACGCUGAGGCGCGAAAGCCAGGGGAGCAAACGGG